AAAAAAAAUUGAAAUAAAUUAGGAAAAAAUAUGGUAAGAAAGUAGAGAUGACAUACAUCAUUCUGAUAUAGAACAUGUUCAAAUAUUUGAGCGUUUGGGCACUAAAAAAAUAAAAAAAAAUGCGGAACCCGUUAAGGCCCGUUAAAAAAAUGCGGAACAUGUUAAAAAAAUGCGGAACCCGUUAAAAAAAUGCGGAACAUGUUCAAAUGUUCAAAAAAAAUAUUUGACCUGAUCCACAUGCAACAUUACCCUAUUUGCCACCUCCAUAUGUUGGCUAUAGAUUACCCAACAUGCAAGAUGCUUCCAAUGUGCAGGAUGAAGGAUAUGCAGCAUAUGGUGCAUAUGGCGCAUAUGGGGCCUAUGGAGGCUAUGGCUAUGGCUCAUAUCAACAGGAUGAUUCUGAAGAAUAAACUCCAUGUGGUAUGUAUCGUGUGAACUACUAUGUAUUAUGAACUUUAGCAAUGAUGGUUUGUAAGGACUAUGGUUGUGAUGAUUUGUAUGGACUAUUGUUGUGAUGGUCUAUAUGGAUUGUGGAUGUGAAUUUCUAUUUAUAUGUAUAUGAACUUCUAUUCUAUGUAUGUGUGAAUGUUAUAAAAUUGUUUGAUAUA